AGAGUUUGAUCAUGGCUCAGAUUGAACGCUGGCGGCAGGCCUAACACAUGCAAGUCGAACGGUAACAGGAAACAGCUUGCUGUUUCGCUGACGAGUGGCGGACGGGUGAGUAAUGUCUGGGAAACUGCCUGAUGGAGGGGGAUAACUACUGGAAACGGUAGCUAAUACCGCAUAACGUCGCAAGACCAAAGAGGGGGACCUUCGGGCCUCUUGCCAUCAGAUGUGCCCAGAUGGGAUUAGCUAGUAGGUGGGGUAACGGCUCACCUAGGCGACGAUCCCUAGCUGGUCUGAGAGGAUGACCAGCCACACUGGAACUGAGACACGGUCCAGACUCCUACGGGAGGCAGCAGUGGGGAAUAUUGCACAAUGGGCGCAAGCCUGAUGCAGCCAUGCCGCGUGUAUGAAGAAGGCCUUCGGGUUGUAAAGUACUUUCAGCGGGGAGGAAGGGAGUAAAGUUAAUACCUUUGCUCAUUGACGUUACCCGCAGAAGAAGCACCGGCUAACUCCGUGCCAGCAGCCGCGGUAAUACGGAGGGUGCAAGCGUUAAUCGGAAUUACUGGGCGUAAAGCGCACGCAGGCGGUUUGUUAAGUCAGAUGUGAAAUCCCCGGGCUCAACCUGGGAACUGCAUCUGAUACUGGCAAGCUUGAGUCUCGUAGAGGGGGGUAGAAUUCCAGGUGUAGCGGUGAAAUGCGUAGAGAUCUGGAGGAAUACCGGUGGCGAAGGCGGCCCCCUGGACGAAGACUGACGCUCAGGUGCGAAAGCGUGGGGAGCAAACAGGAUUAGAUACCCUGGUAGUCCACGCCGUAAACGAUGUCGACUUGGAGGUUGUGCCCUUGAGGCGUGGCUUCCGGAGCUAACGCGUUAAGUCGACCGCCUGGGGAGUACGGCCGCAAGGUUAAAACUCAAAUGAAUUGACGGGGGCCCGCACAAGCGGUGGAGCAUGUGGUUUAAUUCGAUGCAACGCGAAGAACCUUACCUGGUCUUGACAUCCACGGAGGUUUUCAGAGAUGAGAAUGUGCCUUCGGGAACCGUGAGACAGGUGCUGCAUGGCUGUCGUCAGCUCGUGUUGUGAAAUGUUGGGUUAAGUCCCGCAACGAGCGCAACCCUUAUCCUUUGUUGCCAGCGGUCCGGCCGGGAACUCAAAGGAGACUGCCAGUGAUAAACUGGAGGAAGGUGGGGAUGACGUCAAGUCAUCAUGCCCCUUACGACCAGGGCUACACACGUGCUACAAUGGCGCAUACAAAGAGAAGCGACCUCGCGAGAGCAAGCGGACCUCAUAAAGUGCGUCGUAGUCCGGAUUGGAGUCUGCAACUCGACUCCAUGAAGUCGGAAUCGCUAGUAAUCGUGGAUCAGAAUGCCACGGUGAAUACGUUCCCGGGCCUUGUACACACCGCCCGUCACACCAUGGGAGUGGGUUGCAAAAGAAGUAGGUAGCUUAACCUUCGGGAGGGCGCUUACCACUUUGUGAUUCAUGACUGGGGUGAAGUCGUAACAAGGUAACCGUAGGGGAACCUGCGGUUG
rnacentral:rRNA from 1 species